UCUCCCAUAGACCACUGAACUCAUGCAUCAUUCUGUAAUUCAUGUUCUGCCCAUAUAGGAACUCUAAGCUGACCAAAAUUGUAAGGGUUGGCUCCAGGGCUAGGCCACCGCCGGCCACCAGGGGGAGUCAACGACCCAAAUGAGCCACACCUGCUCAGGGGGCUUUAUAAGGGCUGAGAAGAAGACACACUUUGCUGAGUCUUUGUUUCAGAAUUCUGGCAAACAGACCGGCCGGUAAUCUCGGUUAGAAGCUGUAAGAGACUCACUAUGCCGAAGAACAGAGAUGAGAACUUAUAUGCCUGUACCAGGGGGUAUAUUUUCGGAAGUGGCAGUGAUGUACUUGCAGCAAAGACUAAGACCCACUCUACUCAACUCCACAGUGCUGCAGCUGAGGUUUUGACGAAACUGAUUACAAACCAUGAAAGAAUCCGGUGCUACCAGUUCAGUCAGAGCCCUUCUCUUUAUUCAGUUC